UAUUGGCCAGACCCUACAUUUUCUCACCAAAAGGCACAUUUCAAAAGGUUUCCUAAAAUAACAAUAACUUCAAUUAAUGAUGAAAAUCAUAGAAAAGGGGAGAGUUUCAAAGCAUGUGAGGUGGAAAAAAGUUUGAUUUUUUUUUUCCAGGUGGAUUUGUUUCCAUUUCCAAUCAACUUUUGAUCAUCGAGCAAUGGUGUUGUCUUGAGAGAAGAGAAAGCUCACGCCACCUGCAGCAUGGUUUGGGUUUUCAGCUGGUGCAGGACAGCCCAUCUCCGCAAGAACUUGUGCCAGGUUGCAUGGAGGGGAGGUUGAGCCCUGUGCAUUUGUGUGGUGUCUUCUCCCCCAUGUUUCCUGCUAAAACCAGAAGCAUCGCUCCUGUCUGGACCAACGGGCUGUGGCUGAAUGGUGCUUGGUAGAAAGCCCUGUGGAGAUGGAGCGAAGAUCAUAAGCAGAUGACAAAUGAAUGUUGAAAGGCAGAGCAAUGGAGAGAUAUUGCUGAAGAGUCUUGCCUUUUUUUCCUGAUGAUCCUCCAAACCUCCUGUGAAGUUCUCUGGGGUGCCAGCGGUGGCUGGCAGUGGGAUUCAUGGUCAACCAAGGCUGUGAUGUCUGGCUGUAAGCUUGCACCUGGAUUACAAGGUAUCUCCCCUCCCAGAAGUGCAGGCAGCCAAUGCACGGUCUCGGCACCAGCAGUCCCUUGUUCUGCAUCGAAGUUUUCCUUGUAACAAACUGCAAAGGGUCACAUGCAGAUGGAAAAGCCUCAUCACACCUUAAAGGAAGCAACAAGCAGCUUGGCCAAGGUCAAAGAACACAACCUUCUUCAAACCUAGAGUCCUGAGCCUCAAACCCAAGUGCAUCUCACUGCCUCCCAGGUUACAAAUGGAGAGCCCAUGUAUCCAGCUGAAAAAUGCAGUGUUUUCUGGAGUGCAGCGAGGCAGCUGGUUGCCCAUGUACCCCACAGAGCAGAGAGCACCAGUAAAUAGCCUGCAAGCCUCACUGGAGGGAUGGCUGCAGCCCAUAGCAAAACAGCCCCGUGUCUGCUAGCAGCCUGAACGUGCUCAGUAGCCUGCAAUGAAACCUGGGCUUGCAGAGCCCAACUCCUCCAGAAGCCAAAGUUCAACGUAAUGGAAAACUUUGCUAAGGUGUGCUGACAAAGGAAUCCUGUCCCCGCACCUUGGCUGUGCCUCAGGAGGCACUGAAGUCCAAUGGGCAGUGGCACGGUCUCUCACACAAAGCAGCAAGGGGGCUGGAGAGCUCCUUUUACAGCCCAAACGGAUGUUUCCCCAGGCUCAUAAAAUACACAGUUUAAGUAGUAGCUAUAUUUCUGAGGCUGGUCCCACACCUGCAACAACGUUGUAAAUGGCGCUGGGAUAUAUGGCUUUAAGACUCCUUGUAAAACGCAAGAUCAACACAAGAUUUACACAGUUUUAUGGAAUUGUUUUAUAAGCUAUUUUGACAAUGAAUCCUGCUAUCAAAAUCACCUCUGGUGCUAAUCAUGGAGGAAGCAUUUAGCAGGAACCAACAAAGAUUAGUUUAAACCCCUUUCCUACCGAGCCGUGGGCUGUGCAGUGCAUCUCCCAAAGCCUGGGGCAUGGCUCACACAGCAGCACGUGUGGGGCAGUGGGACCGGGCUUCAAACCUGGGGGUGGACACAUUUUUGGGUGCCUCUCCGUGCUCUGGUGGGGACGAGGACUGAACAAGGACUGCAGGAGGUGAAGCCAGAGCUCUCCUGCCUCCUGUCCUCCCAAGACAGAGAUGGAGCUGGACCUCCAGCAGGUCCUAACAGCCCAAGGGGACACAGCUGGGGCAUGGCAAACCAGUGGUGGGACCUGAGCACUGCAUCCCCCAGCACCCAACCCUCCGUGGUCCUUCUUGCCCAUGACUGGGUCACACAGGAGAGGAAGGACUGCAGUGAGAGGAUGAACCCUCCUGAAAGCCCGAAUCAGCACUGUUGCCUUGCAUUGCCACAGACUGCCCCACGCCAAGUGCUGGACACGCUGAGGGGACGUUUGUGGGUCAGGCUGGCCAGAUGUCCCUGGCAAGGAAGCCACGGGCAGUGAGGCUUUCAUUACAUGCUGCCACAAGCCGCAGAGCAACCAGAGCCUCACCACUCGCAGCCGAGGGGUUAGCUCAUCUCCUGGCUCCUCUGGGCAGCCCUCGGCUUCCUUCUUCUGAGAAACCAGGAGGAAGGCUCCAGAGGAAUCGCCUCCUCCUCCUCCUGCUUGAACAUGGCUCCCGAAGGUUCACCUGGUGGCUCUGAGUCCUGAGCACGAGGACGGUGAGCAGCUGCUCCCUUUCUGGCUUCUCCCAGCGUCUCAGGAUUUUGCAGACUUUUGCCGUCCCUCACUGAGCUGUUUCUUUCCUACAUACAUAGAAGUCCCAGCUAAAUAAACAGGAACAUAAUGUG